CCUACGGGUGGCAGCAGUGGGGAAUAUUGCACAAUGGGGGAAACCCUGAUGCAGCGACGCCGCGUGAGUGAAGAAGUAAUUCGUUAUGUAAAGCUCUAUCAGCAGGGAAGAAAAUGACGGUACCUGAGUAAGAAGCCCCGGCUAACUACGUGCCAGCAGCCGCGGUAAUAAGUAGGGGGCAAGCGUUAUCCGGAUUUACUGGGUGUAAAGGGAGCGUAGACGGCAGUGCAAGUCUGGAGUGAAAGGCGGGGGCUCAACCACCGGACUGCUCUGGAAACUGUACGGCUGGAGUGCAGGAGAGGUAAGUGGAAUUCCUAGUGUAGCGGUGAAAUGCGUAGAUAUUAGGAGGAACACCAGUGGCGAAGGCGGCUUACUGGACUGUAACUGACGUUGAGGCUCGAAAGCGUGGGGAGCAAACAGGAUUAGAUACCCCUGUAGUC
rnacentral:rRNA from 1 species